rnacentral:rRNA from 1 species
UACGUAGGGUGCGAGCGUUAAUCGGAAUUACUGGGCGUAAAGCGUGCGCAGGCGGUUUUGUAAGCCAGAUGUGAAAGCCCCGGGCUCAACCUGGGAAUGGCAUUUGGGACUGCAAGGCUAGAGUGCGGCAGAGGAGACUGGAAUUCCUGGUGUAGCAGUGAAAUGCGUAGAUAUCAGGAGGAAUACCGAUGGCGAAGGCAGGUCUCUGGGCUGACACUGACGCUCAUGCACGAAAGCGUGGGGAGCAAACAGG